AGUGUGAGCUUGUGUAGAGGACUAAAACAAAUUUGAAAAGUUGAGCUGUGAGGUUACGUGUUUGAGUUGGUGAAAUUUCUGAAAACACUUGUCUUGAUCAUGUUCAAAAUGAUUGCACCUAAGCCAAAAAGAUUGAUCAUGUAUCUCUACUUAAUUGAAAUAGUCUAAUAUUGUGUGUGAAUGAAAGAGAGGACAUGACAGGUUAUGGGGGGAGUCGCUUUCUGGUGUUCAGAUUUUUGUUUGAUAAGUCUCACAUCCAGGGGGGAAAAGUCGUUUGGGUGGUUCAUUCCUGCGGGAUGGGGUGUAAUAUUCAUACAUCAUGACUGUUAGUGACAGUAAUGUUUGAGUGAUCUGUGUGCAGGAUCGUUAUCGCGGAUAAUGAUACUCAUGCAG
rnacentral:lncRNA from 1 species